AUUGAACGCUGGCGGCAGGCCUAACACAUGCAAGUCGAGCGGAUGAAGGGAGCUUGCUCCUGGAUUCAGCGGCGGACGGGUGAGUAAUGCCUAGGAAUCUGCCUGGUAGUGGGGGAUAACGUCCGGAAACGGGCGCUAAUACCGCAUACGUCCUGAGGGAGAAAGUGGGGGAUCUUCGGACCUCACGCUAACAGAUGAGCCUAGGUAGGAUUAGCUAGUUGGUGGGGUAAUGGCCUACCAAGGCGACGAUCCGUAACUGGUCUGGGAGGAUGAUCAGUCACACGGGAACUGAGACACGGUCCAGACUCCUACGGGAGGCAGCAGUGGGGAAUAUUGGACAAUGGGCGAAAGCCUGAUCCAGCCAUGCCGCGUGUGUGAAGAAGGUCUUCGGAUUGUAAAGCACUUUAAGUUGGGAGGAAGGGCAGUAAGUUAAUACCUUGCUGUUUUGACGUUACCAACAGAAUAAGCACCGGCUAACUUCGUG
rnacentral:rRNA from 1 species